GGGGUAGUAGUUCAGCGGUAGAGCCCCCGCUUCAUAUUCGGGGAGAGCUGGGUUCGAUUCCUGGCUGCUUCA
rnacentral:tRNA from 1 species